rnacentral:rRNA from 1 species
UACGUAGGGUGCGAGCGUUGUCCGGAAUUACUGGGCGUAAAGAGCUUGUAGGUGGUUUGUCGCGUUGUUCGUGAAAACCGGGGGCUUAACCCUCGGCGUGCGGGCGAUACGGGCAGACUUGAGUACUGCAGGGGAGACUGGAAUUCCUGGUGUAGCGGUGGAAUGCGCAGAUAUCAGGAGGAACACCGGUGGCGAAGGCGGGUCUCUGGGCAGUAACUGACGCUGAGGAGCGAAAGCGUGGGGAGCGAACAGG